GAUGAACGCUGGCGGCGUGCCUAACACAUGCAAGUCGAGCGUGAUUGUGUGGAUUGAAGCUUCGGCAGAGAGAAACACAUGAAAGCGGCGGACGGGUGAGUAACGCGUGGGCAACCUGCCCCAUACAGCGGAAUAGCCACUGGAAACGGUGAUUAAUGCCGCAUAAGACCCCGGUGUCGCAUGACACAGCGGUCAAAGAUUUAUCGGUAUGGGAUGGGCCCGCGUCUGAUUAGCUAGUUGGUGAGGUAACGGCUCACCAAGGCGACGAUCAGUAGCCGACCUGAGAGGGCGGACGGCCACACUGGAACUGAGACACGGUCCAGACUCCUACGGGAGGCAGCAGUGGGGAAUAUUGCACAAUGGGCGCAAGCCUGAUGCAGCAACGCCGCGUGAGUGAAGAAGGCCUUCGGGUCGUAAAGCUCUGUCCUGUGGGAAGAAAAAAAUGACGGUACCACAGGAGGAAGCCCCGGCUAACUACGUGCCAGCAGCCGCGGUAA
rnacentral:rRNA from 1 species